rnacentral:miRNA from 11 species
CUGCCAUUCAUAUGUGUAUGUGUAUGUAUGUGUGUGUGUGUGUGUGUGUGUGUGUAUAUAUAUAUAUAUACACACACACACAUACACACACACACACAUAUAGA